rnacentral:rRNA from 1 species
GAUGAACGCUAGCUACAGGCUUAACACAUGCAAGUCGAGGGGCAGCGCAGUGUAGCAAUACAUGGGCGGCGACCGGCGCACGGGUGCGUAACGCGUAUCCAACCUUCCCGUUACUCUUGGAUAGCCUUCCGAAAGGGAGAUUAAUACAAGAUGGUAUUCAAAUUCCGCAUGUUAUUUGAAUUAAAGAUUUAUCGGUAACGGAUGGGGAUGCGUGACAUUAGGUAGAUGGCGGGGUAACGGCCCACCAUGCCUACGAUGUCUAGGGGUUCUGAGAGGAAGGUCCCCCACACUGGAACUGAGACACGGUCCAGACUCCUACGGGAGGCAGCAGUGAGGAAUAUUGGUCAAUGGUCGGAAGACUGAACCAGCCAAGUAGCGUGAAGGAUGAAGGUUCUAUGGAUUGUAAACUUCUUUUAUACGGGAAUAAAACCUCCCACGUGUGGGAGCUUGUAUGUACCGUAUGAAUAAGCAUCGGCUAACUCCGUG